CUACUGACGUCAGCCAAACUCCGAAUGCCGGUAAGUGAGAGCGUGGCAGUGAGACUGCGGGCGAUAAGGUUCGUAGUCGAGAGGGAAACAGCCCAGAUCACCGACUAAGGCCCCUAAGCGUGUGCUAAGUGGGAAAGGAUGUGGAGUCGCAGAGACAGCCAGGAGGUUGGCUUAGAAGCAGCCACCCUUGAAAGAGUGCGUAAUAGCUCACUGGUCAAGUGAUUCCGCGCCGACAAUGUAGCGGGGCUCAAGUACACCGCCGAAGUCGUGGCAUUGAUGCAGAUUCGUCUGUGUUGAUGGGUAGGGGAGCGUCGUGCAGCCGGCGAAGCAGCAGAGUGAUCUAGUUGUGGAGGCUGUGCGAGUGAGAAUGCAGGCAUGAGUAGCGAAUCGAGGGUGAGAAACCCUCGCGCCGAAUGACCAAGGGUUCCUGGGGCAGGCUAAUCCGCCCAGGGUAAGUCGGGACCUAAGGCGAGGCCGACAGGCGUAGUCGAUGGACAACGGGUUGAUAUUCCCGUACCCGCUUCAAUGCGCCCAUAUCGAACCUCGUGAUGCUAAGAGUCCUUAAGUCCUCUGAUGUCCUUCGGGACUAGGGGUGAGGCUGAACGCUCGAUCCGAUCGGGUAGUAGGUAAGCGAUGGGGUGACGCAGGAAGGUGGUCCAGCCCAGGCGAUGGUUGUCCUGGGGUAAGCAUGUAGGGCGUGUCGUAGGUAAAUCCGCGGCAUUUAAGCCUGAGAUGUGAUGCCGAGCCGAUUGUGGUGAAGUGGAUGAUCCUAUGCUGCCGAAAAAGCCUCUAGUGAGUGUUGUGGCGGCCCGUACCCUAAACCGACUCAGGUGGUCAGGUAGAGAAUACCAAGGCGAUCGGGUGAACUGUGGUUAAGGAACUCGGCAAAUUGCCCCCGUAACUUCGGGAGAAGGGGGACCUCUGUUGGUGAUGGGCUUUACGCCUGGAGCUGGUGGGGGUCGCAGUGGCCAGGGGGAAGCGACUGUUUACUAAAAACACAGGUCCGUGCGAAGUCGUAAGACGAUGUAUACGGACUGACGCCUGCCCGGUGCCGGAACGUUAAGGGGACCGCUUAGCUGACGUGAGUUGGCGAAGGUGAGAACUUAAGCGCCGGUAAACGGCGGUGGUAACUAUAACCAUCCUAAGGUAGCGAAAUUCCUUGUCGGGUAAGUUCCGACCUGCACGAAUGGCGUAACGACUUCCCCGCUGUCUCAACCGCAGACCCGGCGAAAUUGCACUACGAGUAAAGAUGCUCGUUUCGCGCAGCAGGACGGAAAGACCCCGGGACCUUCACUACAGCUUUACAUUGGCGUUUGGAACGUCUUGUGUAGGAUAGGUGGGAGACUGGGAAGCUGUCACGCUAGUGAUGGUGGAGUCAUUA
rnacentral:rRNA from 1 species